GAUGAACGCUAGCGGCAGGCUUAAGACAUGCAAGUCGAGGGGCAGCAUGAUUGUAGCACUACAAUUGAUGGCGACCGGCAAACGGGUGCGGAACACGUACACAACCUUCCAACAAGUGGGGGAUAGCCCAGAGAAACUUGGAUUAAUACCCCGUAACAUAGCGAUGUGGCAUCACAUUGCUACUAUAGAUUUUUCGCCUGGUGCGGGGUGGGCGGUUGAUUAGAUAGGUGGCGGGGUAACGGCCCACCAAGUCUACGGUCAGUAGCUGAUGUGAGAGCAUGAUCAACCACACGGGCACUGAGACACGGGCCCGACUCCUACGGGAGGCAGCAGUAAGGAAUAUUGGACAAUGGACGCAAGUCUGAUCCAGCCAUGCCGCGUGAAGGAUUAAGGUCCUCUGGAUUGUAAACUUCUUUUAUAAGGGACGAAAAAAGGCUUUUCUAAGUCGUCUGACGGUACCUUAUGAAUAAGCACCGGCUAACUCCGUGCCAGCAGCCGCCGUAAGAC
rnacentral:rRNA from 1 species